rnacentral:lncRNA from 1 species
AAAAACCAAUCCUUCCAUCCCUUAGUAGGACUGGGCUAGGAACAGAAGGUAUCUUUCCAUAGAUCUAGAGAAAAAUUCUCGGCUCUAAAGGGGAUUCUGUUUGUCUCUGCGUUGAUCAGAUCGGUAGGAUCUGGGUUCCCUUGCGGACCGAGACAUUGGAGGUGUGGUUGAUCGGUAGGGAUGCCGAUUCUAUUGGACAGAUCCUAGAAGUUUUUGGGGGUAAAAAGAAAAGCAAAAGAAAGAAAAAAAGUAUUCAGUAAGAUGAACUGCGGAUGAACAGGAGUGCAGUGAAAAUACAGGAGAGAAGUAGAGCUGACCUCAGGCACGAUGAAGUUGAUGGCCAUUUUCUCGCAGGGAAGAAGAUCGAAAACUCGAGGGUUGUUGAAGGAAGUUCUUGCUAGAAUUCUUUGAAUCCUCGAACGGUGCUGUUGCCAAGGAAGUGGAUUUUGGGGUUGUAGAAUGACAGAUGAAGGAGUACCUG